AAAAAAAAAAAAAAAAAAAAAAAAGAUAAGGAGAAGCAGAAAGAAAGAAUGAAAGAAAAAUGUACUUGACGUUUUUUUUUGUGAGGGAUAAUCACUAGCUUGUUGUUUCUUCUUCUUUUUUUCUUUUGUUUUUGUUGUACAUCUUCU
rnacentral:ribozyme from 1 species